UACGUAGGGAGCAAGCGUUGUCCGGAAUCAUUGGGCGUAAAGCGCGCGUAGGUGGCCCCGUAAGUCCGCUGUGAAAGUCAAAGGCUCAACCUUUGAAAGCCGGUGGAUACUGUGGGACUAGAGUACGGAAGAGGCGAGUGGAAUUCCUGGUGUAGCGGUGAAAUGCGCAGAUAUCGGGAAGAACACCUAUGGCGAAGGCAGCUCUCUGGGACGGUACUGACGCUGAGACGCGAAAGCGUGGGGAGCGAACAGG
rnacentral:rRNA from 1 species